UGGUAGCGGCGACGAUAGUGGCGACGGUAGUGGUAGCGGCGACGAUAGUGGCGACGGUAGUGGUAGCGGCGACGAUAGUGGCGACGGUAGUGGUAGCGGCGACGAUAGUGGCGACGGUAGUGGUAGCGGCGACGAUAGUUGCGACGGUAGUGGUGGCGACGAUAGCGGCGAUGAUAGUGGCGACGGUAGCGGCGAUGAUAGUGGCGACGGUAGUGGUAGCGGCGGCGAUAGUGGCGACGGUAGUGAUGGCGAAAUUACUGACGGCCUUGAUGGUGGGGAAUUUUGAGAUUCCCUAGCCUGCAGACGUCCAACGGUAAUGUUUACAGCACGAUAAACAUCACACAGACCAACUCACGCCCAAAGGACUACCAGAAUCCAUUUUUGAAAAUGUAUGAAAUCAUAUGUUAAUUACACGAAAUAAAUUGUGCAAUG